CCUCAGUAACGGCGAGUGAAGCGGCAACAGCUCAAAUUUGAAAUCUGACCCCGUCGGGGCCCGAGUUGUAAUUUGCAGAGGAUGCUUCGGGCAUGGAUUCGGUCUGAGUUCCUUGGAACAGGACGCCGCAGAGGGUGAGAGCCCCGUAUGUGACCGGCCCCCGUGCCUGUGCGAAGCUCCUUCGACGAGUCGAGUUGUUUGGGAAUGCAGCUCCAAAUGGGUGGUAAAUUUCAUCUAAAGCUAAAUAUUGGCCAGAGACCGAUAGCGCACAAGUAGAGUGAUCGAAAGAUGAAAAGCACUUUGGAAAGAGAGUCAAACAGUACGUGAAAUUGUUGAAAGGGAAGCGCUUGCAACCAGACUUGCCUGCGGGCGAUCAGCCGGCAUUCGUUGCCGGUGCACUCGCCCGCAGUCGGGCCAGCAUCGGUCCGGGCGGCUGGACAAAGUCCCCCGGAAUGUGACUCCCCCCGGGGAGUGUUAUAGCCGGAGGUGCCAUGCAGCCCGCCUGGACCGAGGACCGCGCUUCGGCUAGGAUGCUGGCGUAAUGGUCGCAAGCGACCCGUCUUGAAACACGGACCAAGGAGUCUAACAUCCAUGCGAGUGUUUGGGUGUCAAACCCAUGCGCGGAAUGAAAGUGAACGGAGGUGGGACCCCGUCCGGGUGCACCAUCGACCGAUCCUGAUGUCUUCGGAUGGAUUUGAGUAAGAGCAUGGCUGUUGGGACCCGAAAGAUGGUGAACUAUGCCUGAAUAGGGUGAAGCCAGAGGAAACUCUGGUGGAGGCUCGCAGCGGUUCUGACGUGCAAAUCGAUCGUCAAAUUUGGGUAUA
rnacentral:rRNA from 1 species